rnacentral:ribozyme from 1 species
CCCGACUGUUGCUGCUACCUUGACGUGGUGGUCGGGCUUGCCUAUUGUGAUGAACCAAUCAAGCUAUACUAGUUGAAACAAUCGUUCCUCAAGAUCCUACCAUGCCAGACUGGUCGGUUGGAGAGCGGUAAGACUAAAAGCAUC